rnacentral:rRNA from 1 species
ACAGCAGCCGCCGCGGGAAAACGUAGGGUGCGAGCGUUAAUCGGAAUUACUGGGCGUAAAGCGUGCGCAGGCGGUUCGUUAAGACAGAUGUGAAAUCCCCGGGCUUAACCUGGGAACUGCAUUUGUGACUGACGGGCUAGAGUAUGGCAGAGGGGGGUAGAAUUCCACGUGUAGCAGUGAAAUGCGUAGAGAUGUGGAGGAAUACCGAUGGCGAAGGCAGCCCCCUGGGCCAAUACUGACGCUCAUGCACGAAAGCGUGGGGAGCAAACAGGAUUAGAUACCCCGGUGUCCCUGUCUCUUAUACA